UUCAAUUCUCAAGAAAGUCAUCUCUUUCAGAACUUUUCAUCUGCAAUGUAGUACUUUCCUUUAACCUUUCCACUCCUUCGGCCAUUUUCAAUCUGGUUCUCUCACCCAAUCAGCAAGCUUUUGUUUCUCGGUAUACCCAGGAACGCUCUUCAGCAGAGCUUCGACAGAGAAAGUGAAGGGUACCUCUUCAUGGGUCUCCGAAUAGGGAAGAAGAAUGGCUCCUUCAGCAUUUUUGGCCACAAUACCCGAGGCCAAUUUAUAUUUACAAUCAUCAUACGCAUCGUCAAAAUUGAUUUUGACAAUAGAAUCAGGUGGGCCACUCCACUUUAUCGACCCUUAAGGUUUUGAAAGAUUUCUUUUUUCGAUCCCAUUUAACUCAUUGAUGUAGUUAUUAACAAACCUUGUUAAAUCAUUUCCAAUGCUUACUUUUCGUUUAUGGAUUCUAGCAUUUUUGUUUUCCCAAA